AAACACGGCCCACAGACCUAGCAUGCCCAGAGUCCAUUUCAGUGUCAGACAGUUCUGACAGGAUGGAAACAAAUGCAGUUUUAAUUUUUCUGCUGGCACUGGGAUGGAGCCAGACCCUCCAGGGGCUUCCAAUUAUUCCAGAUCCUCUUUACCCCACACAGGAGAACUUUGUUUUGAUGAAGUUUUUGGGAACAUGGUAUGACGUUGCCUUGGCAACUACGAGUCCUGACCUCCCAAAGCACAAGCAAAAUACAGCUAUAGGUAAACUGCUGGUGCAGAAAAGUGCUGUUGGCUCGAAGC